UACGUAGGUGACAAGCGUUGUCCGGAUUUACUGGGCGUAAAGAGCGCGCAGGCGGUCGUUCAAGUCGAGUGUGAAAGCCCCCGGCUCAACUGGGGAGGGUCACUCGAUACUGACCGACUCGAAGGCAGGAGAGGGUAGUGGAAUUCCCGGUGUAGUGGUGAAAUGCGUAGAUAUCGGGAGGAACACCUGUGGCGAAGGCGGCCGACUGGGCCGACCCUGACGCUGAGGCGCGAAGGCCGUGGGGAGCGAACGGGGAUUAGAAACCCGA
rnacentral:rRNA from 1 species